UACAGAGGGUGCGAGCGUUAAUCGGAAUUACUGGGCGUAAAGCGUGCGCAGGCGGUUUGUUAAGUCUGUUGUGAAAUCCCCGAGCUCAACUUGGGAAUUGCAAUGGAUACUGGCAGGCUGGAGUAUGGUAGAGGAAGGUGGAAUUCCCGGUGUAGCAGUGAAAUGCGUAGAGAUCGGGAGGAACACCAGUGGCGAAGGCAGUUCUCUGGGCCGUAACUGACGCUGAGGAGCGAAAGCGUGGGGAGCGAACAGG
rnacentral:rRNA from 1 species